rnacentral:lncRNA from 10 species
UCUGUUUUUCCUGAAGGUAGAGAGAGCCACCCAUACCUAAAAGGACAGUGCUAGAGAUAAAAUAGUCCACUUACAUAUUUUCCUCACUACAAGGAUUGCCAGGGAGAUAUGCAGGAGAUACAUGCACGGAAAGGAGCAUGCAGAAGAUAUAUUAAAUGAAAAGAAUUUUGAGGGACAAAUCUGUGGUAAUAGGGCUGGAUUUUAAGAACUGAAUAAAUGACGAUACUACUCAUAAGAAGGAACAAACUACUGACACAAUGUGAAUGAGUCUGGCAGAUAUGUUGAGUGACAGAUGAAAGAUACAAAAGAUUAUACGUAUAAUAUGAUUCCAUUUAUCUGAUGUUCGAGGCAGGAUAAGCUAAUCUAUGGUGAUAGAAAUUAGGACAGUGGAGGCCUGGGGUGGUGUUGACUGGAAAGGGGUAUCCAGGAACUUUCAGUGGUGAUGGCAACGUUCUGUGUCUUGAUUUGGAUGUAGGUAUACAUUUGUCAAAACUUGUGAAACUGUACGCUUAAUAGCUAUGCAUUUCUUUUCUUUUCUUUUCUUUUCUUUGCGACAGGGUCUCACUCUGUUACCCAGGCUGGAGUGGUGCAAUGGCACAAUCUCAGCUCACUGCAACCCCUGCCACUGCAACCCUUGCCUCCAGGUUCAAGUGCUUCUCUUGCCUCAGCCUUCCAAGUAGCUGGGAUUACAGGCACCUGCCACCACACCUGGCUGAUUUUUGUAUUUUUAACAGAGACGGGGUUUCACCAUGUUGGCCAAGCUGGUCUCAAACUCCUGACCUCAAGUGAUCUGCCUGCCUCAGCCUCCCAAAAUGCUGGGAUUACAGGUGUAAGCCACCAUGCCCAGCCAGGUAUGCAUUUCAUAGUGUAUGAAUCAUACCUCAAAAUUUAUAAAAAUAAAAAAGGAUUUUAAAAAAUGAACAGCCCUUUAGGUAUGGGAGGAGGCGAGGAGUAAGAAAGGUGAAUGGACUCUGCAUUACCACUUGCCGAUCGCUAGAUGUUACCAUGUUACAGUGGAAGGAAUGCAAACAAUAAUUUUUCCCAUUUUUUUUUUUGUUAUGUCCACCAUGUAACCGGACACACAGAAUUUUUUUUUUUUUUUUUUUUUUUUUUUGAGACGAAGUCUCACUCUGUCGCCCAGGCUGGAGUGCAGUGGCGCAUCUCGGCUCACUGCAAGCUCCGUCUCCCACGUUCACGCCAUUCUCCUGCCUCAGCCUCCCGAGUAGCUGGGACUACAGGCGUCUGCCACCAUGCAGCUAAUUUUUUGUAUUUUUUUUUUUAGUAGAGAUGGGGUUUCACCGUGUUAGCCAGGAUGGUCACGAUCUCCUGACCUCGUGAUCCGCCUGCCUCGGCCUCCCAAAGUGCUGGGAUUACCGGCAUGAGCCACCAUUUCCGGCAACAGGCAGACUUUUAACACAUUCCUUACCUAAACUUUUAAAAGGGACAAAAGAUAUAUGCCUUUGGUUUGGGAGAUGACGAAACAUAUGCUUUAAUGACUAUUGGGUUGGAAUCUUCUUGAGAGAGGAUCCUUCUUAGCCUAGACUAGAGUCUUCAAAAGCCCACAGUGCUUCGUAAAGUUUCAUACGUGGAAGAGAGAAGGAUGUUCCACUGGAAAAGCAGAAUUGCAGCUGAGCUGUCCUGAAAUGCCCAGCACUCUGUGGAGACGCGGAGGAGGUUUCCUGGGACAAAGUGCUGAACCAGGUGGUGAAGCCAAGGCCUGAAGACCUUUCCUGCAAGGUCGCAGAGGAAGAGGCAGAAGAAGGACCAGAACCCAGCUCCCCUGACUCCCUAUCCAGUGCUCUUCUCAUAGAUUACAUUGCUUCAGCAUCCACCUGGCUAUUGCUCCAUCCAGGGGUUACAGGAGUCACUGACUGUUUUGGUUGCUUCUUGGUUGGAGGAUGUUGUGCCUCACCGAUGAGAGGCUAUGAGCAAUCUGAUGCUAGUCCCGAUGUCUUGGU